CUGACAUCACCAGGAAGGGGGAUCGGGAGGAACCGUUAAUAUGUAGUUAAACGUUCUUAAUCUCCCCCAACAUAUGCUGUUGCACCUAACUUUGAUCGACUUAAGUGUAAAAAUGUCUCUGUGCUUCCACUCGGGUUUUACCGCCAUCUGGUUUAAUUAGUCCUCGGGUAGCCCGCCACCGACUUAAUGGCAGAACGCUGCCGGGCCAAUCAGAGGGCCGGCUGCCACCACCAGGGGCCCCCUGUUCCUCCCCAACCCACUGACGGGAGGUCGAGGCGGAGAUAACACCUGUCGGUGGGCUGGGCACGGGCGGGACGACGACGACCCCACGCUGGCGCCCAGAAACGACCCGCGUGCAAAGAGCCUACCGCCCCCUCUCCAAACUCUCUGCUACGCUGAUUGAUACGAAGUUUCCGCAAUUUGGAAUUUCAGAGGAGCACGUGUGUGCUGCGUCCAGCGCCUGCACAUCCGGGCGGCGACUCGGUGGCCCUCACCGGAGCCCAGGGAAGAGCCUGGGCCCCAGAGCUAACCUGCGGCCAGCACGGAACUUCCAGGAUGGGGACACUGUCACUGGAGACCCGCCAUCUCGCGCCAAGGGCAAUGACACGGAAGGUGAGGUGGAUGCUGAAGGUGCCCCUUGUCUCCUGUCCUGCUGGGCUGCCCUGAGUCCCUGUCCAUGCUCAGGCCGCCGGGGCUGGGCACCCCGUCCUGACGGUCCCCGGCAGUUCCAGGUAGGGAGCCAGUGGACGGGAUUCAGGAACUUCAGGGGUGGUUUUUAAUGUCACUUGAAAGGCGGCGUCCAAUAAAUCAGAAGAGCAGCUUGAACCUAA